UUUACUUUUUUUAUUUUAUUUAUUUAUAUUUUACACCAUAGAAAUGAAAAAGCUUAAUCGGGAACCAAAAUUAUGAUGAUGCUUCUUUAAAGUCUAUGUUUAAUGGGGAAUGACCUGCCAUUGGUACAGGUAAUCGCUGUUCACAAGAAGGGAUUUGAUAUUUCAUUUUGCUGGAUACCGAGUCACGUCGGUAUACCAGGGAAUGAGUUGGCUGAUUAUGCAGCACGAUUUGCAACUACUGAAUUAACAAAAUUGGUACCAUUCUCAGACAUUAAAUUACAUAUUCGGCAGCUCAUCUUGUCCCUUUGGCAACAGCAUUGGGACCUUCAAACUCAAAAUAAACUUUAUAACAUCAAACCAUAUAUAGAUCCAUUACCUGUAUUGCGUCUAAGUAAUGCAGAUGUAAAGCUAAAUUGUCUCAGAAUUGGCCACACUCGACUCACGCAUAUUCAUCUGUUGUUUAGAGAAUCUCCUCCCAAAUGCGACUGUUGUAAUGUUUUACUUACGGUUCAUCACAUUUUAACCAUUUGUCCUUGUUUUAACCAACCUCGUCUUACCUUUUUUAAUAGCACUAUGUUAUGUAUGAGGGAUUUGUUAGAUGAAAUUCAUCAUCCUAACAUUUUCGCAUUUCUGCGAGUUAUUGGUAUUUUGUAUUGUAUAUAACUGUUUUAUCUGUUUUUAUUCACUCUUAUUUCUUACCCAUGUACCGUUUUACUUUUACUGUGUAUUUUAUGGAAUUACGCUAUUUAUCGAUUUUUAUGAACUUUUAAAAAUACGUGUCUACAAUUUUAUUAGUUUCAUUUAUUUUAUGACAAUUGCUAAAUUAUUGUGUGCAAUUUACCAUUAGAUCUGACUCAACAAAUUGUUUGGCACUGCAUAUCCUCCUUCGGAUCUUGUGCCAUAAAACUUCCACAUUCGAUCAAUCGGCUGCAUGAUCUGCUACCUCUGUUUUAACUCUAUUUGUACCUUUCUUAGACACAAAAACUUAUAUUCGACAGUUCAUCACAUCUGUUUGGCAACAACAAUGGGAUCUACAAAUUUUUAACACGUUGCACUCAAUAAAAACAUAUUUUAGCCCAUAUCCUGUAUUGAGUCUGCGGCAUGCAGAUGUAAAGUUAAGCCGUCUCCAAAUCGGCCACACUGGCAGACCCACCUACAUUUGUUAUUUGGGGAACCUCCUCCCCAAUGCAACACUUGUAAAGUUUUACUCACUAUUCAUCAUAUUUUAAUCAUCUGCCCAUGUUUUAACCGUCAUCGUCUUACUUUUUUCGGUAGUUCUAUUUUAACUCUGCGGGAUUUGUUAGGUGACUCUCAUCGUCCUAACAUUUUUGUGUUUCUAUGCGCAAUUGGUCUGUUAUACUGUAUAUAACUGUUUUAUCCUAUUCACAAUUUUAUCUGAUUUUAUUCAGCUUUGAAUACAUCUGUUUUGUUGUAUCUAGUUUAAUAAAUUCCGUGUGAUUUUAAAUGAGGAAAAUUUGUAAUAUACAUUUACCUAAGAUUUACAUUAUAAUGUACAUUUACCUAUGCAUUGUAAUAUAUAUACUUGUAAUAUACAUUUACUUUUAUUUUAGAACCGUUUGUUUGGCGCAGCAUGUCCUUUGGGUUUUGUGCCAUUAAAUCCUACAUUCAAUCAAUCAAACCCAUUGACAACAAAUCAGAAAUAUAAUAGAAUUCGAAACUCUAAGUGGUAUAUUGAAAGCUAAACGCCUAAAUGAUAACAAGAUACAAAUUGAUUUGCCUGCCUAUAAUUUUACAUGAGCAAGAGUUUGAAUCAUUCAAAAAAUAAUGCAAAUGAAUUAUUAUUUGCAUCUUCUGAAGUGGUUGGUGUGAUAGUGACUUUGGAAGCAAAAGACAAAUUCGAUUGCAAAGAUGAUGCUGGAAAUCAGUAUGAUUUUAUAUCCCGUUACUUUGCACCCUGGUUGGGAGUAGCAGAGGACCCAGUGACUGGUAUUUAUCUUAUCUUAAUUAUUUUGUAUAAUUAACGAGUUAAAUUUAUGAUUAUGCAAGAAAAAAAGAUGAAAUAAGAGAGAUUUUGUAAUUUUUGAUGGUAUAUAGCCAUUAAUUCUUUUGUGUGUAAACAGGUUGCAAUAUUACUUUGCCUCUAUUGAUCUAUUUUUCUUUUAAAGUAAAUGAUCCCAAGAAACUAAAGCUGGAAAAUAUAUUUCCUAAUGAAAAACAAAAAACUUCAUUACCUUGAAAUAUGAGGUAAGAAAGUUUGAAAUGUCUUAGGUCUCUGGUCACCAGCCUUUAGAUAAAUAAGAUAAAGUCCCAGCUCUGUUUUGUCUCUGCACCGCCAUUGUUUCUCUUCUUGACCGUGAUUUUUCUUGUCUUUCAUUUUUUUUUUUUCAAAUUU
rnacentral:lncRNA from 1 species